rnacentral:misc_RNA from 1 species
GAUGAAGAACGUAGCGAAAUGCGAUAAUUAAUGUGAAUUGCAGAAUUCCGUGAAUCAUCGAGUCUUUGAACGCACAUUGCGCCUCAUGGCAUUCCGGGGGGCAUGCCUGUCCGAGCGUCAUUGCUGCCCUCAAGCACGGCUUGUGUGUUGGGCCUCCGUCCUCCUCCCGGGGGACGGGCCCGAAAGGCAGCGGCGGCACCGCGUCCGGUCCUCGAGCGUAUGGGGCUUCGUCACCCGCUCUUGUAGGCCCGGCCGGCGCUUGCCGACACAUCAAUCUUUUUUCCAGGUUGACCUCGGAUCAGGUAGGGAUACCCGCUGAACUUAAGCAUAUCAAUAAGCGGAGGA